rnacentral:rRNA from 2 species
AGACCGAUAGCGAACAAGUACCGUGAGGGAAAGAUGAAAAGCACUUUGGAAAGAGAGUUAAACAGCACGUGAAAUUGUUAAAAGGGAAGCGAUUGAAGUCAGUCGUGUGGGAGGUAUUCAGCCGUCUCUGGCGGUGUAUUUGCCUCUCACGGGUCAACAUCAGUUUGAUCCGGCAGAAAAAGGCGGGAGGAAGGUGGCACCCUCGGGUGUGUUAUAGCCUCCUGUCAUAUAUGCCGGACCAGACUGAGGAACGCAGCUCGCAGCAAUGCCGGGGUUCGCCCACGUACGAGCUUAGGAUGUUGACAUAAUGGCUUUAAACGACCCGUCUUGAAACACGGACCAAG